rnacentral:rRNA from 1 species
UACGAAGGGGGCUAGCGUUGUUCGGAUUUACUGGGCGUAAAGCGCACGUAGGCGGAUCGUUAAGUCGGGGGUGAAAUCCUGGAGCUCAACUCCAGAACUGCCUUCGAUACUGGCGAUCUUGAGUCCGGAAGAGGUGGAGUGGAACUCCUAGUGUAGAGGUGGAAUUCGUAGAUAUUAGGAAGAACACCAGUGGCGAAAGGCGG